CUGAAUCCAUACCCUAGCCAUUUCUUUCCUGGAGCUCCCAUGUGCUUAGGCUGCUAUGCACCUGCCCUAAUUACCCCAGGGCAAAAUUCCAAACAACUAGGGCAGUUCUUCUGCUCUGGAGCCUGAGUCCCAGGAAUUAUUCAAAUUAGCCGAUCCACAGGAGGCCCUCUUAGGCUGCCUCUCACAGCUCCAGCUUGCUGUCAUGCUUCCCCUGUCUAACUUCCUGUGUGGCCCUGCCUGGCAGCCUUCUCUCCUUAGGAGCUCCUACUUCACCUGAAGAUGAUGAGGAUGAAGAUGAUCCACUUCCACUGAAUAAAUAGUAAAUACAGGAGCUGAGUGUGGUGGCACAUGCCUGUAGUCCCAGCUACUCAGGAGGCAGAGAUAGAAGGAUUGCUUGAGGCCAGAAGUUCGAGUCCAGCCUGAGUAAGAUAGUAAGAACUUUCUCUCUUAAAAAAAAAAGUAUUUAAAGUAUAUUUUUUAUUCUUUAUAAUUCUCUUAAUGUUUUCUCUAGCUUACUUUAUUGUAGAAAUACAGCAUAUAAUAUAUAUGACAUGCAAAAUAUGUGUUAAUUGACUGUAUUAUCAGCAAGGCUUCCUGUCAACAAUUGGAUAAUAGUUAAGCUUUUGAGAAGUCAAAAGUUAAACACAGAUUUUUGAUUGUGUGUGUGCGGGAUUGGCAUCCCUAAUCCUCACAUCGUUCAAGCAUCAAACAAUAUUUUAAAUCAUUUCUAGAGUACUUAUGAUAUCUAAUACAAUGUAAAUGCUCUGUAAAUUAUUGUUAUACUGUAUUGUUUUUUAUCGGUAUUAUUUUAUUUUGAUAUACUUCUUUCUAGUAUUUUUGAUCUGCAGUUGGUUGGAGGUGCAGAUGUGGAACCCUCAGCUAGGGAGUGCUGACUGUUUCAAAAACAACCUUAGUGCACAUGCUCUCUCUUUUUCUCCAAUAAAAGAAUCACCCUGCCUGAGUGCAGAAUUGAGGGUACUAAGGAGUAAAAUCAGAGGCACAGAAAAGAAUGUAGCAAUUGUAAUAGCCAGUAAUAGAUGGCAUUGGCUUGAACAAGAGUGAUUGAUGGCUAUUGAUCGAUAUGGAGAGAAGUGGAUACAUUUGACAGGUAUUUAGGGGGUUUGAUACAUAGGAGUUGGAAAGUGAGUAGAUGUGGGAUCAAGGCUGAGGGACACCCACAGGCCUUGAUUCCUGAUUUGGCUAACUUUUGAUAAGGUUUCAAUAUUUCCAAUUCAAGUGUUCUCGUUUGAAAAAAGGCUACCAAUUCAACGUAAACCUUUAUAUUUGUUGGCUUCAUGUUUCUAGGCUUCAUGUUUCUAUUCCUGUACACCUUCCAACACAGCAAAGAUUGUGGCUUUCUUAUCCAACUUCAAAGAUAAAAGCAAAAUCAAAAGAUAUAGAAGCAUUUUUUUUUUUUUUUUUUUUUUGAGACGGAGUUUUGCUCUUGUUACCCAGACUGGAGUGCAAUGGCGUGAUCGCAGCUCACCACAACCUCUGCCUCCUGGGUUCAGGCAAUUCUCCUGCCUCAGCCUCCUGAGUAGCUGGGAUUACAGGCACGUGCCACCAUGCCCAGCUAAAUUUUUGUAUUUUUAAGAGAGACGGGGUUUCACCAUGUUGACCAGGAUGGUCUUGAUCUCUUGACCUCGUGAUCCACCCGCCUCGGCCUCCCAAAGUGCUGGGAUUACAAGCGUGAGCCACCGUGCCUGGCUAGAAGCAUCUUUAAACCCUUUAUAACCUCGGAAACUUUUUGCAGUUUAAUCAUGCACAAACAAUGAUGGAUUUCUUUAAUCAUAAAGCAGAAACGUUUUAUUUAUUUUGUCAAUAGAAAACUCUUCUAGACCUUGUAAUAUGUUUUUGAUGGUGAUUGAUCAUAUAUACUAAGCAACAUAGACCAUUUGAUAUGAGGCAAUAUUUUUAAAAUUAUGUUUUAAGUUCUGGGAUACACGUGCAGAAUGUGCAGGUUUGUUACAUAGGUAUACACAUGUCAUGGUGGUUUACUGCGUCCAUCACCCCAUCAUCUACAUUAGGUAUUUCUUUUAAUGCUAUCCUUCCCCAAUCCCCCCAUACCUCUACAGGCCCUGGUGUGUGAUGUGUCCACAUGUUCUUAUGGUUCAACUACUAUUUAUGAUAAGAACAUGUGGUGUUUGGUUUUCUGUUUCUGUGUUAGUUUGCUGAGAAUGAUGGAUUCAGCUUCAUCCAUGUCCCUGCAAAGAACAUGAACUCAUCUUUUUCAUGGCUGCAUAGUAUUCCAUGGUGUAUGUCUGCUACAUUUUCUUUAGUCUAUCAUUGAUGGGCAUUUGGGUUGGUUCCAAGUCUUUGCUAUUGUGAAUGCAAUCAAUAUAUGUGUCCAUGUGUCUUUAUAGUAGAAUUAUUUAUAAUCCUUUAGGUAUACACUCAGUAAUGGGAUUGCUGGGGCAAAUGGUAUUUCUGGUUCUAGAUCCUUGAGGAACCACCACACUGUCUUUCACAAUGGUUGAACUAAUUUACACUCCUACCAAUAGUGUAAAAGUGUUUCUAUUUCUCCACAUCCUCUCCAGCAUCUGUUGUUUCCUGACUUUGUAUUGAUUGCCAUUCUAACUGGCAUGACAUGCUAUCUCAUUGUAGUUUUGAUUUGCAUUUCUCUAAUGACCGGUGAUGAGCCUUUUUUCAUAUAGUUUGUUGGCCACAUAAAUGCCUUCUUUUGAGAAGUGUCUGUUCAUAUCCUUCGCCCAUUUUUUUGAUAGGGUUAUAUUUUUUUUCUUGUAAAUUUGUUUAAGUUCCUUAUAGAUUCUGGAUGUUAGCCCUUUGUCAGAUGGAUAGAUCACCAAAAGUUUCUCCCAUUCUGUAGGCUGCCUGUUCACUCUGAUGAUAAUUUCUUUUGCUGUGCAGAAGCUCUUUAGUUUGAUUAGAUUCCAUUUGUCAAUGCUGGCUUCUGUUGCCCUUGCUUUUGGUGUUUUAGUCAUGAAGUCUUUGCCCAUGCUUAUGUCCUGAACGUUAUUGCCUGGGUUUUCUUAUAGGGGUUUUAUGGCUUUAGGUCUUAUAUUUAAGUCUAUAAUCUGUCUUGAAGUAAUUUUUGUAUAAGGUAUAAGGAAGUGGUCCAGUUUCAUUUUUUUGCAUAUGGCUAGCCAGUUUUCCAAUAAAAAUCAUUUAUUAAAUAGGGAAUAGCCAGUUUUCCAAUAAAAACCAUUUAUAAAUUAAUAAAAACCAUUUAUUAAAUAGGGAAUCCUUUUCCCAUUGCUUGUUUUUAUCAGGUCUGUCAAAGAUCAGAUGGUUGUAGUUGUGUGGUGUUAUUUCUGAGGCUUCUGUUCUGUUCCAUUGGUCUAUAUAUCUGUUUUGGUACCAGUACCAUUCUAUUUUGGUUACUGUAGCCUUGUAGUGUAGUUUGAAGUCAGGUAGCAUUAAGCCUCCAGCUUUGUUAUUUUUGCUAAGGAUUCACUUAUCUGUAUGAGCUCUUUUUUAGUUCCAUGUGAAAUUUAAAGUAGUUGUUUGUAAUUAUGUGAAGAAAGUCAAUGGUAGUUUGAUGGGAAUAGCACUGAAUCUAUAUACUAUUUUAAGUAGUAUGGCCAUUUUCAUGAUACCAAUUCUUCCUCUUAAUAAGCAUGGAUUUUCCUCUGUUAUUUCCUUGAGCAGUGGUUUGUAGUUCUCCUUGAAGAGGUCCUUUGCAUCCCUUGUAAGUUAUAUUUUUAGUUAUUUUAUUCUCUUUGUAGCAAUUGUGAAUGGGAGUUCACUUAUGAUUUGGCUCUCUGUCUAUUAUUGUUGUGUAGGAAUGAUUGUGAUUUUUGUACAUUGAUUUUGUACCCUGAGAUUUCUCUGAAGUUGCUUAUCAGCUUAAGGGGUUUUUGGGCUGAGACAAUGAUGUUUUCUAAAUAUGUAAUCAUAUAAUCUGCAAAGAGAGACAAUUUGACUUCCUUUCUUCCUAUUUGAAUAUGCUUUAUUUCUUUCUCUUGCCUAAUUGCCCUGGCCAGAACUUCCAAUGCUGUGUUGAAUAAGAGUGGCAAGAGAGGGCAUCCUUGAUUAUUCUGGUUUUCAAAGGGAAUGCUUCCAGCCUUUUCCUAUUCGGUAUGAUAUUGGCUGUGGCUUUGUCAUAAACAGCUAUUAUUAUUUUGAGAUACUUUCCACCAAUACCUAGUUUAUCAAGUGUUUUUAGCAUGAAGGGGUGUUGAAUUUUAUUGAAGGCCUUUUCUGCACCUAUUGAGAUAAUCAUGUGGUUUUUGUCAUUGGUUCUGUUUAUGUAUGUGAUGGUUUAUGUUUGCUGAUUUGCAUAUGUUGCACCAGACUUGCAUCCCAAGGAUAAAGGUGACUUGAUCAUGGUGAAUAAGCUUUUUGAUGCGCUGCUGGAUUCGGUUUGCCAGUUUUUUUAUUGAGGACUUUCGCAUCAAUGUUCAUCAGGGAUAUUGGCCUGAAAUUGUCUUUUGUGUGUGUGUGUCUCUGCCAGGUUUUUGUAUCAGGAUGAUGCUGACCUAAUGAAAUGAGUUAGGGAAGAGUCCCACUUGUUCUAUUGUCUGGAAUUGUUUCAGAAGGAAUGGUAUCAGCUCUUCUUUGUACCUCUGGUGGAAUUCAGCUGUGUAUCUCUCUGGUCCUGAGCUUUUUUUGGUUGGUAGGCUAUUAAUUACUGCCUCAGUUUCAGAAGUUGUUAUUGGUCUAUCCAGGGAUUUGACUUCUUCCUGGUUUAGUCUUAGGAGGGUGUAUGUGUCCAGGAUUUUUUCUGUUUCUUCUAGAUUUUCUAGUUUAUUUGUGUAGAGGUGUUUAUAGUAUUCUCUGACAGUAGUUUGUGUUUGUGUGGGAUCAGUGUUGACAUCCCCUUUAUCAUUUUUUAUUGUGUCUAUUUGAUUCUUCUCUCUUUUCUUCUUUAUUAGUGUGGCUAGCAGUCUAUCUAUCUUGUUAAUCUCUUCAAAAUACCAGCUCCUGGAUUCAUUGAUUUUUUUGAAGGGUUUUUUUGUGUCUCUAACUCCUUCAGUUCCACUCUGAUCUUAGUUAUUUCUUGUCCUGCUAGCUUUUGAAUUUGUUUGCUCUUGGUUCUGUAGUUCUUUUAAUUGUGAUGUCAGGGUGUCAGUUUUAGAUCUUUUCCACAUUUUCAUGUGAGCAUUUUAGUGCUAUAAAUUCCCCUCUAAAAACUGCUUUAGCUGUAUCCCAGAGAUUCUGGUAUGCUGUGUCUUUUCUCUUAUUGCUUUCAAAGAACUUAUUUAUUUCUGCCUUAAUUUCAUUAUUUACCCAGUAGUCGUUCAGGAGCAAGUUGCUCAGUUUCCAUAUAGUUGUGUUCCAUUUGAUCCUGUGCAGCUUUGAGUGAGUUUCUUAAUCCUGAGUUCUAAUUUGAUUGCAGUGAGAGACUCUUUGUUAUGAUUUCUGUUCUUUUGCAUUUGCUGAUGAGUAUUUUACUUCCAAUUAUGUGGUCAAUUUUAGAAUAAGUGUGAUGUGGUGCUGAGAAGAAUGUGUACUCUGCUGAUUUGGGAUGUAGAGUUCUGUAUAUGUCUCCUAGGUCCACUUGGUCCAGAGCUGAGUUCAAGUCCUGACUAUCCUUGUUAAUUUUCUGUAUCAUUGAUCUGUCUAAUAUUGACAGUGGGGUGUUAAAAUCUCCCACUGUUCUUUCAUGGAAGUCUAAGUCUCUUUGUAGGUCUCUAGGAACUUGCUUUAUGAAUCUGGGUGUUCCUGUAUUGGAUGCAUAUAUAUUUAGGAUAGUUAGCUGUUCUUGUUGCAUUGAUCCCUUUACCAUCAUGUAAUGCCCUUCUUUGUCUUUUUUGAUCUUUGGUGGUUUAAGUUCUGUUUUAUCAGAGACUAGAAUUGCAACCCCUGCUUUUUUUAGAUUUGCAUUUGCUUGGUAAAUCUUCCUCCAUCCCUUUAUUUUCGCCUAUGUGUGUCUUUGCACAUGAGAUGGAUCUCCUGAAUAUAGCACACCAAUGGGUCUUGACCUUUUAUCCAAUUUUUCAGUCUGUGUCUUUUAAUUCAGGUAUUUAGCCUGAAUUAAACAUUUAAGGUUAAUAUUGUUAUGUGUGAAUUUGAUUCUGUCAUCAUGAUGCCAGCUGGAUAUUUUGCCCAUUAAUUUAUGCAGUUUCUUCAUAAUGUCGAGAGUCCUUACCAUUUGAUAUGUUUUUGCAGUGGCUGGUACAGGUUUUUCCUUUCCGUAUUUAGUGCUUCCUUCAAGAGCUCUUGUAAGGCAGGCCUUGUGGGUACAAAAUCCUUCAGCAUUUGCUUGUCUGUAAAAGAUUUUAUUUCUCCUUCAUGUAUGAAGCUUAGUUUGGCUGGAUAUGAAAUUCUGGGUUGAAAAUACUUUUAAGAAUGUUGAAUAUUGGCCCCCCACUCUCUUAUGGCUUGUAGGGUACCUGCAAAGAGAUUCUCUGUUAGACUGAUGGGCUUUCCUUUGUGAGUAACUGGACCUUUCUCUCUGGCUGCCCUUAACAUUUUUUCCCUCAUUUCAGCCUUGGUGAAUCUGACGAUAUGUGUCUUGGGGGUUGCUCUUCUUGAGGAGUAUCUUUGUGAUGUUCUCUGUAUUUCCUGAGUUUGAAUGUUGGCCUGUCUUGCUAGGUUGGGGAAGUUCUCCUGGAUAAUAUCCUGAAGGGUGUUUUCCAACUUGGUUUCCUUCUCCCUGUCAUUUUCAGGUACACCAAUCAAAUGUAGGUUUGGCCUUUUCACAUAGUCCCAUAUUUCUUGGAGGCUUUGUUUGUUCCUUUUCAUUCUUCCUUCUUUUUUCUCUAGUCUUGUCUUCACACUUUUUUUCAUUAAGUUGAUCUUCAACCUCUGAUAUCCUUUCUUCUGCUUGAUAAAUUUGGCUAUUGAUCCUUGUAUAUGCUUCAAGUUCUCAUGCUAUGUUUUUCAGCCCCAUCAGGUCAUUUAUGUUCUUCUCUAAACUGAGAAUAACUCUAAACUGAGAAUAACUAGUUAUUCUAGUUAGCAUUUUGUCUAACCUUUUUUCAAGGUUCGUAGCUUGCAUUGCAUUAGAACAUGCUCCUUUAGGUCAGAGGAGUUUGUUAUUACUCACCUUCUGAAGCCUACUUGUUUUAAUUCAUCAAACUCAUACACCGUCCAGUUUUGUUCCCUUGCUGGUGAGGAGUUGUGAUUCUUUGGAGGAGAAGAGGUAUUCUGUUUUUUGUAAUUUUCAGGAUUUUUGUGCUGGUUUUUCCUCAACUUCAUGGAUUUCCCUACCUUUGAUCUUUGAUGUUUGUGAUCCUUGGAUGGGUUCUUUUCGUGGGCAUUCUUUUUGUUGAUGUAUAUGUUAUUGUCUUUGUUAUUUUUCCUUCAACAGUCAGGCCCCUUUGCUGCAGGUCUGCUGGAGUUUUCUGGAGGUUCACUCCAGACCCUGUUUGCCUUGGUACUACCAGCAGAGGCUGCAGAACAGCCAAGAUUGCUGCCUGCUCCUUCCUCUGAAAGCUUCAUCACAGAGGGGCACCUGCCUGAUGCUGGUCAGAGCUCUCCUGUAUGAGGUAUCUGUUAACCCCUGCUAGGAGGUAUCUCCCAGUCAGGAGUCACAAGGGUCAGGGAUCCACUUGAGGAGGCAGUCUGCCCCUUAGCAGAGUUUGAGUGCUGUGCUAGGAGAUCCGCUGCUCUUUUUAGAGAGCAGGUAGGAACGUUUAAGUCUGCUGAAGCUGUGCCUGUAGUUGCCCUGUCCCCCAGGUGCUCUGUCCCAGAGAAAGGGGAGUUGUAUCUAUAAGCCCCUUACUGGGACUGCUGCCUUUCUUUUAGAGAUACUCUGCCCAGAAAGGAGGAGUCUAGAGAGGCAGUCUGUCUAUAGAGGCUUUGUCAAACUGCAGUGGGUUCCAUCCAGUUCAAACUUCCCAGAGACUUUGUUUACACUGUGAGAAGAAAACCGCCUUCAGGUAAUGGCAGAUGCCCCUCCUCCCACUAAGCUUGAGAGUCCCAGGUUGACUUCAUACUGCUGUGCUGGCAGCAAGAGUUUCAAGACAGUGGAUCUUAGCUUGCUGGGCUUUGUGGGACUGGGAUCUGCUGAGCAUGACCACUUGGCUUCCUGGCUUCAGCCCCUUUUCUAGGGGAGUGAGCAGUUCUGUCUCACUGGUGUUCCAGGGACCACUGAGGUACAAAAAGAAAAAAUUCCUGCAGCUUGUUUGGUGUCUGCCCAGAUGGUUGCCCAGUUUUGUGCUUUAAACCCAGGACCCUUGUGGUCCAGGCACCCAAGGGAAUCUUCUGGUCUGUGUAUUGUGAAGACCAUGGAAAAAGCAGAGCUUAUGGGUCAAAUAGCAUUAUCCCUCAAGGUGCAGUCUCUCACGGCUUCCCUUGGCUAAGGGAGGGAGUUCCCCAACCCCUUGUGAUUCCAGGUUGAGGUGCUGUCCCACCCUGCUUCAGCUUGCCCUCUGUGGGCUGUACCUACAGUCUAACCAGUCCCAGUAGAUGAGCUGGGUACCUCAGAUGGAAAUGCAGAAAUCACCUGCCUUCUGUGUUGAUCUUUCUGGGAGCUGCAGACCGGAGCUGUUCCUAUUUGGCCAUCUUGCUAGCCACCUGAUGUGAGGCAAUAUUCUUGUAAUACAGUAACAGUUUUUAGUUUACAAAGAUGUAUUUCAAAAUAACAUAAACAAUAAAUCUUUUAAAGUAUUUCACUGACCCCUUGAAACAGUUCACAGACCUCCUGUUAGAACUUCUGAUUUCUAAAUAAGGCAGAAGAUGAAUUGUUCUGAGAGAUUGAAUAGGUAAGGAUUAAUCAGACUGGGAUUUCAGAGAACACAGCUGAAUGAUUUGGGAAGGUGUGGAACAGUGGGACAUGGGUUAGUAAAAACAAGUAGCAAGCAGUUUUGGGUUUGCAGGACUGAGUAAACAAGAAGGCUUAGUUUAGCAUCUAACAAAGAUGGAGUAUGAAGUAGCUAAUUUGAAGAUUGUCACACAAUUCAUCCCAGACAUUCUCUCAUUGAUGGGGAAUGGUUUGCAUCUCAGAAGGUAUGGAGGACUUGGAUUGAUUGCAACCCCAAAGAGCUCUAGUCUCUUACAUAUAGGAACCUGGCCCUGUGAAGGGAGUGAGCAAGAAUUCAUAUGGAUAUGGAUUGUGGAAGCCGCUAACCUCCCUUGGAAGCAUUCAGUUUUUAAUUGUUUCAUGUUUAUUUUAAUAUUUCACCUUGGUAUCAGUACUCUCUUUUAAGGAAAUAAAGAGGAAACACAUUGCUCCUUGUUUUUACUAAUUGGGAAACAAGAUAUAUGAAUUCCUUAAAAGAAAUUCUCAGCCCUAGAGCCUGAAAAAAAAAGGAAAGAAAAAACAAAAAGUAAUUCAACCCCAUUCUCCUUUCAUAACUGUUAUUAAAGUGCCUUGUUGAAUUUAUCCCUUUUAUGAGAGUCUCUUUUUAUUCUACACUUCUGGAAAGGACUGUAUAUGUUUUGUAGAAAGAUCUAGAUAUUUUUGUAACUCUUUUACACAUGUCAGCCACAGUGAUACUGUAUUAUGUUGUUCCUGUUUUUUCUUUAAACUUUUUUAGAGCCAGGAUCUUGCUAUCAUUACUUAGGCUGGAAUGUAGUGGCUGUUUGGAAACACAGUCAUGGCACACUACAGCUUCAAACUCUUGGGCUUGAGUGAUCCUCCUGCCUCAGCCUCCCAAAUAGCUGGGACUAUAGGCACACUCCCCUAUGCUUAGCUUAUCUCUGUUUUUCUCUUCCAUGGAACUCUGUUGCUUUUCUCCAUGUAUUUAUAAAUUAAUUAAAACUUCAUAUUUGAUCAGUAUCUGUCUCUCACUAGACUCUAGGUGCUAAGAGAGGUUGCUCUUUUUUCUACUGUUCCUAACACAGUACUUGGCAUGGGCAGUUGCCAUUGAUUCACUGGCUAAAAUGUGACUAAGGAACUGUUUUGCCUUUUUCUACUUUAUUUUACAUAUUUCCUAUGAAGAAAACAUUUCAAUCUCUUUUUAAGGCAGAACUCUUUCUCACUUAAGGAGGGAAUCUGACCACAUUGACAAAGAACAAAUUGUACAAGGUGGUUUACAGUGCAUGUGUAAAUAAUUUAUAAAUUAAAAUGGUUUUUUUGUUGUUAAUUCUUUAAGUCAGAUAUUUACAUUGUCUAAUUCUCAUUGAUCUGAUUUGAUUUUUCUCUUUGGUGGUAUAAUUGAACUUCUCUUCUUCAUUGCUGAGAAGACAAAAGAGGUAGGUGUCUGCAUGAACUCAUUCUCAUGCUAAUAAAGACAUAUCAGAAUCUGGGUAAUUUAUAAAGAAAAGAGUCUUAAUUGACUCACAGUUCAGCUUGACUGGAGAGGACACAGGAAAGUUACAGUCAUGGCAAAAGUGGGAGGAACAAACACAUUCUCCUGGUGGUAGCAAGGAGAAGUGCCAAGCAAAAGGGGGGAAAGCCCCUUAUACAACCAUCGGAUCUGGUGAGAACUAAUUCACUGUCAUGAGAAUGGGAUGAGGGAAACUGCCCCCAUAUUCAAUUCCCUCCCACCAGGUCCCUCCAGUGACACUUGAAGAUUAUGAGAACUGUGAUUUAAGAUGAGAUUUGGGUGGAGACAUGGCCAAUCCCUAUCAGUGUUGUUAGAGCGUGGUUUUAUUGCUGGCUUCAUAUGUGACUUUGGGCAAGACAUAAGCUUUGAGCCUAAGCCUCAUCAGUUGUAAAACAGGGAAAAACUCAUUUGGCUGUUUUGUUUCUCCACAGAAUGUUGUGAGGAUAAAACAAAGUAAUUAAAUAUAAAUUUUCUUUUGGUAACAGUAUUGGAUAAGUAUAUGUUUGUAUGCAUAUGCACACAUACAUAAUUAUUUCUUUUGUUCUGGCUAUGCCAUUUUUUUUCCUUUGGAGAUAGAAUCUCAUUCUGUUGCCAGGCUGGAGUACAGUGGCAUGAUAUUGGCUCACUGAAACCUCUGCCACCUGGGUUAAAGCAACUGUCCUGCCUCAGCCUCCUGGUAGCUGGGACUACAGGCGCACACUACCACAUCCAGCUAAUUUUUGUAUUUUUAGUAGAGAUGGAGGUUCACCAUGUUGGCCAGGAUGAUCUCAAUCUCUUGGCCUCGUGAUCCACCCACCUCAGCUUCCCAAAGUGCUGGGAUCAGCAGCCACCAAAUUUUAAUAUAGUAUAUAAUAUUUGAAUGACUCCAUAAAAAUGAUCAAAAAUAAUGAUGGCAACUAUUUAGUAGUACUUUUAAGUGGCCAAGUGUUGAGUUAAAUGCAUAUGUUUUCUUAUUUAAUUCUCCCAAAAAUACGUUAAUGACCUUUUCCAUUCCUACUUUCACCCCGCCACUCUCACUUGAACCCAUUCCACUGAAUAAGGCAUUUGUACCCAUGACUUCACUGAAUCUUUUCCUCUUGGGGUCACUGUUGGCUUCUAUGUUGCCAUUGUCAGUGGUUCAUUAUGCCUUCAUCUCACUCAGCCCUUCUGAAACGUAUGACAGUCGGUUCUUCUCUCUCCAUGCACUUUAUUCACUCAGCUCUAGGACACUGCCAUCCCAUGGUUUUCCUGCAUUGUUCUCAUCUUCUUGACCUCUCAAUAUUGGAGACUCACAGAGCUCAGAUCCUGGCCCUCUUUUCUUUUCUAUUUUGACAUAUUCCUAUAGGGAUCUCACUCAGUCCUUAUAAAUUAAAUACAUUUCAUUCUCCGAUAAUGCCCAAUUAAGAUUCAUUUUUGACCUCUUUCUUGAAUAUAUACCAUAUUCAAUGGUCCACAAUAUUUAUCAAAUUAGAGCUAUCUCUAACUAAACUUUUAUAGUUCUUUUUAUUUUUACUUAUUCCUAACUCAGUCUUCCCCAUUUCAGUAAAUGGCACUGCCAUUUACCCAGUUACUUAGGCCUGAAACUUUAGACUCAUUCAUAUUUCUCACAACUCACAAUCUAUCAAAGGUUAUAUUGGGUCUACUUUAAAUUCAUCAUGAAUCUAACCACUUUUAGCUACUUCCAAGUGUCAUCUUCCCCUUUUAAGUCACCAACAUCACUUACCUACCCUAUUGGGACUGCCUUUACCUGAUCAUCCUGUAUCCACUCCUGGUUCCUGAGGGUUUGUUCUCCACAUAGGAGCCAAAGUGAUCAUUUCAAAACACAAUUGGAUCAUAAUACUCCCCUGCUCAAAAGUGUGCAAUGACUUCACAUCACAGUUGGAAUACAAUCCAAAAUCCUACUGUGGCAUAUAAAUUUCUCUGAGUUACCUGGGCUACAUUUUAUUUGUUUAUUUAUUAAUUUUUUUAAAUGGAGUCUCGCUCUGCCACCCAGGCUGGAGUGCAGUGGCAUGAUGUUGGCUCACUGCAACCUAUGCCUCCCAGUUCAAGCAAUUCUCCCACCACAACCUCCUGAGUAGCUGGGACUACAGUCACCUGCCACCAUGCCCAGCUAGUUUUUGUAUUUCUAGUAGAAAUGGGGUUUCACCAUGUUAGACAGGCUGGUCUCGAAUUCCUGACCUCAAGUGAUCCACAUAGGCUACCUUUUAAAUUUAACUCAUAAGUCAGUGAGCCUUACUGAUUUCCUUGCUUUUUCUCAAAUUCAGCAGAAUAUUCCUGCCAGGAGGUCUCUUAUUUGCUCUUCCCUGUGCUUGAAAUUCUCUUUCUCAAAUAUUCACAUGGAUCACCAUCCCCUAUUCUUCAUCUCUCAACUCAAACAGUACCUCCUAAGAGGACUCACCAGCCCUAGUCUUGUCUGAUCAUCAUUAGCUUAUCUAGAAUUCUUUUCUUUGGAAUCGUUAUUAUAAUCUGAGAUUAUAUUUCAUUGCAAUCUUUGUAUUAAAGCUGUAUGAGGGUAGUUCAGUCAGAUCCUGACUGUCUAGAACAGCACUCAGCAUAUGGUCAUGUACAUUUUAUUUUAAAAAUUUACCUUUGGGUAACCCUCUGUGAUCAGUCUAAUUUUCCAUCUUUUAUAGGCAAGGUAGCUGAGACUCAGGUAGUAAAGUCACUUUGUCAAGAUCACACAGUAAAUGAUACAGCCUGGAUUCAAAGACUGAUCUGACAAUAAAUCUUACACUUCUAGCUAGUAUGUCAUAUUGCUUACCUUUUUAUGCUAUACUGUCUUCACUCAGUAAUUUUGGAAAUUAAGAAUAUUGAAAUUUCCAUAAACAUUAAAAUGUUUAGAAUACUUAGAUGUUUGCUCACAUUUUCGCCUUUGUUGCCUUUCUAGGAUUUUUUUUUUAAAGUUUCACACACAUACAUGCUCACCAGCUUCUUUCAGCUUCCCUGAAGGAAGAUUUAAAGAGGAGAAAAACACCUUGCAAAACACAUCAAUACAAAAAGAUUGUUAAAAACAAUCAAUGACACAUCACUGACAAUUGGAUAAAUGUACAGAUCCUUAGAAUUUCAGACUCUAAAGUGAAAUUGAGAUAGUCAGGUGACUUUUAUCUCUUUGAUCCCACAUGCAAGUUUCUCAUAGGCCUGAAGCAGUACUUAAACCAUAACACUGUUACAAGAGGAGCUAUUGACUUUGGCAUUAGAGAAGACCUAAUGCCAGUUAUUGAAGUCAGGUUUUACUGAUUUCUAACGCUGAAAAUCUUUCUCUAAAAGUAGAUCUAGCAAUUGUCUUGUUAAAACACUUUAAUAAAUGCUAAAUUGUCUCCUCUAUUAACCAUUACUUCAUCAUAUCCAUAUUUAAGACAAAAAUCUAAGUGCCAAAAUCAAAACACAUACAUAGCUCACCAAUUUUGUAGGAGUUGUGUCCAUGUUUGAAUAGAAGUUGAAAAGUUAUCACUCUUGUGACAAGACUUGGACAUUUGAAGAUACCUGAAUACAUUUUCCUUCUCCACAAAACGUAACAGUUAGCAUUUAUGGAAUUUUGUUCUACCGCUACUAGUUGUGUGACCUCAUGUACAUUACUUGUUUUUUGUGUGUCAGUUUCUGAGCCUGUAACCUGGGUAUAUGACUAGAACCAAUCCCAUGGGAUUUUGAUGAGGAUUAGAAGAGAAAAUGCUAAGCACUUGAAUGUGAUUACUUGGGAAAUACCAGCUAUUAUAAUGCAUGUAUGACAACUACACCAGUGUUUCUCAUCCUUGGCACCACUGAUAUUUUGGGUUAGGUCAUUCUUUAUUGUGGGGUGCUAUAUUUAUAUGUAGGAUAUACUCCCACCAAAGCCGUGAUAACCAAAAUUGUCUCCAAACAUUGCCAGAUGCCUCCCUGGAAGGCAAAAACACCCCUUGUUGAGAGUCACUGUAUAAGACUAAUGCUUUGCAUAUGCUAUCUCAUUUAAUUUUCACAAACAAGCUUGUGGAAUAGGUAACAAUGUUACUUAAUUGUUGAAAAUGAGGAAACUAGAACUUAAGAUAGUUAAAUAUUUGCCCUAGACACACAGAUAGUGAGAAAUGGGCUGUUGGUAGAAUCUGACUCUGCCUAACAACAAAGCUUUGCUGGUGUGUUAGUUGCAUUGACCUCAAUUAAGACUGUCUUUGGUAAUGUCUCUAGUUGAUGGGUUGUUCCCGUGCAAAACACCAAGUCAAUAUUUCACUCUCUUUCUACUAACCCCUGACUCAGGAGCCUAUACUAUCUUUAUAGUCCAUUCUCUUUCCUCCUUUCAACUUGUUGCUAUUCUUCUGUUUUGCAUUGAAGAACAGUAUACCUUUCUAUUAGGACCGAUUCGUGAGUGAGGCUUCCCAAUUCUCAUAAAAUAUCGAUUGCACUCUCAGCUUGACAUUAAGCAAAAGUUUCUACCCUUAACUGACAAUAGAUACAAUCUGUACCUCUGAUAUUUUUCACGAAGAAUAACAUUUAACUGACUUUUGCAUAACAUUUAUUACAAGGCUUUCUCUUGCUUAGAAAUUAAGGAGAUCAGUGACAGUGGCUUAUGCCUACAAUCCCAACAUUUUGGGAAGCGGAGGCAGGAGGAUUACUGGAGCCCUGGAGUUUGAAACUAGUCUGGCCAACAUGAUGAGAUCUCAUUGCUACAAAAAAGCAGCUGAAUGUGGUGGUGUGUGCCUGUAGUCUGAGCUCCUAAGGAGGCUGAGGUGGGAGGAUCACCUGAGUCCUGGAGGUCAAGGCUGCAGUGAGCUGCGAUUGUAUCACUUUUCUCCUGUCUGAGUGACAGUGAGAACCUGUGUUGGAAAAAAAAAAAAAGAAAGGAAAGAAGGAAGGAAAGGAAGGAAAGAAAGAAAAGAAAAGAAGAAAGAAAAAGGAAGGAAGGAAGAAAUAGAAAAAGGAAGGAAGGAAGAAAUAGAA